rnacentral:rRNA from 1 species
AUUGUACGCUAGCGGCAGGCCUAACACAUGCAAGUCGAACGAGUGGCGGACGGGUGAGUAAUAUCUGGGAAACUGCCUAGUGGCGGGGGAUAACUACUCGAAACGGUGGCUAAUACCGCAUACCAUCGGAUGUGCCCAUAUGGGAUUAGCUAGUUGGUGGGGUAACGGCUCACCAAGGCAACGAUCCGUAGCUGGUCUGAGAGGAUGACCAGCCACACUGGAACGUAGACACGGCCCAGACGCCUACGGGAGGCAGCAGUGGGGAAUAUUGGACAAUGGGGGAAAGCCUGAUGCAGCCAUCCCGCGUGUAUGAAGAAGGCCUUCGGGUUGUAAAGUACUUUUAGCGGGGAGGCGUUAUCUGCAGAAUAAGCACCGGCUAACUCCGUGCCAGCAGCCGCGGUAAUAC